AUGUUGAGUAGCAUCACCGUAUUCAGGGGGCACAUAGUUGUCAUCGUACUCUUCUUCUUCGCCGUCUUCCAUCAUAACCCCUAUUUCUUGGUGCCUCGUCCCAACAUUAUAGUGUGGCAUGAAACCCUUGUAAAGCAGGUGGGUGUGAAGGAUUUUCCGGUCAGAGUAAGACUUCGUAUUCCCACAUAUAGGGCAUGGACAACACAUAAAACCAUUCUGCUUGUUUGCCUCAGCCACUUCGAGAAAAUCAUGCACGCCCUUAAUGUACUCGGAGGUGUAUUUGUCACCGUACAUCCAUUGCCGGUUCAUCUGCGUGCAUUAUAUAUAAUUAAGUGUGUCAAAAAUCAUUACAGAACAUCAUGA
rnacentral:rRNA from 1 species